rnacentral:rRNA from 1 species
UACCAGCUCUCCGAGUGGUGUGGAUGUUUAUUGGGCCUAAAGCAUCCGUAGCUGGCUGGACAAGUCCCCUGUUAAAUCCACCGAUUUAAUCGUUGGUGUGCGGGGGAUACUGCUCGGCUAGGGGACGGGAGAGGCCGACGGUAUUUCCGGGGUAGGGAUGAAAUCCUAUAAUCCCGGGAAGACCACCAGUGGCGAAGGCUGUCGGCUAGAACGCGCCCGACGGUGAGGGAUGAAAGCUGGGGGAGCGAACCGGAUUAGAUACCCGGGUAGUCCCAGCUGUAAACGAUGCAGGCUAGGUGUUUGGGCGGCCACGUGCCGCUCUAGUGCCGCAAGGAAGCUGUUAAGCCUGCCGCCUGGGGAGUACGGCCGCAAGGCUGAAACUUAAAGGAAUUGGCGGGGGAGCACCACAAGGGGUGAAGCUUGCGGUUU